rnacentral:rRNA from 1 species
GACGAACGCUGGCGGCGUGCCUAAUACAUGCAAGUAGAACGCUGAAGGAGGAGCUUGCUUCUCUGGAUGAGUUGCGAACGGGUGAGUAACGCGUAGGUAACCUGCCUGGUAGCGGGGGAUAACUAUUGGAAACGAUAGCUAAUACCGCAUAAGAGUAGAUGUUGCAUGACAUUUGCUUAAAAGGUGCAAUUGCAUCACUACCAGAUGGACCUGCGUUGUAUUAGCUAGUUGGUGGGGUAACGGCUCACCAAGGCGACGAUACAUAGCCGACCUGAGAGGGUGAUCGGCCACACUGGGACUGAGACACGGCCCAGACUCCUACGGGAGGCAGCAGUAGGGAAUCUUCGGCAAUGGACGGAAGUCUGACCGAGCAACGCCGCGUGAGUGAAGAAGGUUUUCGGAUCGUAAAGCUCUGUUGUAAGAGAAGAACGAGUGUGAGAGUGGAAAGUUCACACUGUGACGGUAUCUUACCAGAAAGGGACGGCUAACUACGUGCCAGCAGCCGCGGUAAUACGUAGGUCCCGAGCGUUGUCCGGAUUUAUUGGGCGUAAAGCGAGCGCAGGCGGUUAGAUAAGUCUGAAGUUAAAGGCUGUGGCUUAACCAUAGUACGCUUUGGAAACUGUUUAACUUGAGUGCAAGAGGGGAGAGUGGAAUUCCAUGUGUAGCGGUGAAAUGCGUAGAUAUAUGGAGGAACACCGGUGGCGAAGGCGGCUCUCUGGCUUGUAACUGACGCUGAGGCUCGAAAGCGUGGGGAGCAAACAGG